rnacentral:rRNA from 1 species
UACGGAGGGUGCAAGCGUUAUCCGGAUUCACUGGGUUUAAAGGGUGCGUAGGCGGAUAGGUAAGUCCGUGGUGAAAUCCUGCAGCUUAACUGCAGAACUGCCAUGGAUACUAUUUAUCUUGAAUGUCGUGGAGGUUAGCAGAAUAUGUCAUGUAGCGGUGAAAUGCUUAGAUAUGACAUAGAAUAUCCAUUGCGAAGGCAGCUAACUACGCGAUAAUUGACGCUGAUGCACGAAAGCGUGGGGAUCAAACAGG